rnacentral:rRNA from 1 species
AUUGAACGCUGGCGGCAGGCUUAACACAUGCAAGUCGAGCGGGGUGAUGGUGCUUGCACUAUCACUUAGCGGCGGACGGGUGAGUAAUGCUUAGGAAUCUGCCUAUUAGUGGGGGACAACAUCUCGAAAGGGAUGCUAAUACCGCAUACGUCCUACGGGAGAAAGCAGGGGAUCACUUGUGACCUUGCGCUAAUAGAUGAGCCUAAGUCGGAUUAGCUAGUGGGUGGGGUAAAGGCCUACCAAGGCGACGAUCUGUAGCGGGUCUGUGAGGAUGAUCCGCCACACUGGGACUGAGACGCGGCCCAGACUCCUACGGGAGGCAGCAGUGGGGAAUAUUGGACAAUGGGGGGAACCCUGAUCCAGCCAUGCCGCGUGUGUGAAGAAGGCCUUAUGGUUGUAAAGCACUUUAAGCGAGGAGGAGGCUCUUUUGGUUAAUACCCAAGAUGAGUGGACGUUACUCGCAGAAUAAGCACCGGCUAACUCUGUGCCAGCCGCCGCAGUAA